AUUGUGGGGUGUACAUUGAAACGGUGGCGUUCGUGCGUUGCAGCUGUGACCAUUGAUUAAAUAUGUGUACUGUACACCCAACACGUAAUCUAGGUUAAAGUUGUUUUAAUUCUUCUUGCUGACACCAUCCAUUCAUGCAGCUGCAGCAUGUGUAAGCAUUGAUUCAUAUGUGAUUGGUCACAUAAUUCACAGUCUCAGGGGGCAUUUCAUCGCUGACAGACAAGCUAAUCUGAAAUCCCCCAAUUUACAAAUGAAAAUCCCACCAUCCAAUUGAGCUAAUAGAGGGACUUGAAUGGGAUAAUAAGAUGUGGUGUAAUACUGUGUAAAAAGCCUGUAAUGUUGUGUUGGUGUAAGAGCCUGUGUGACUGGAUGUUUGACUGUUUGCAGUGAUUAUAGGGGCCUCCGGGCCUGGCGACGGCUCCGUGGCUGGGACAGGGAGCUUCUCCCUGGGCAAGGAGAUACGCCUGUCUGCCCCUUCUGCUGGAGCUACAGGGACCAGGAUGUCAUGAGGGAGAGUGCUCCCUGUGAGCUCUCUCUCUCUCUCUCUCUGUUUUGCUUUCUGUCUCUUUCUGUACGUCUCUUUCUCUCUCUCUUCCUCUCGUUCUCGGUCUGUACUAUUGCAGUGCUUGCAGAUGUGCACAAACAAGGGAGGAUUAAAGCAAAACGAAUCUAAACAGACAAAUGGAAUUAGAAUGAUGGGUGUCGGUGGGCUGGUUCACAGUGAUAAACAUAAUGAUGCUCUGUAUGUAUGUGUGUGUGAGUGUGUGUGUGUUCCUGUGUCUGGGGGAUUAUCAGUGGUUAGGUGUGUGGUGUGUAUGGCUGGGUGACUGCUUCUGGGUGUCUUUGUGUGUUUGCCUAUCCGUCUAUGUUUUUGUAAUUAUGUGUGUGUAUAUUUACUCUGUCUAUAGUUGUGUGUUUGAUAAAUUAGUUAUUCCAUAUUGCCUCACAAAAACAAGUCUCUCUGUGCCCUCUGCGUGUGUGUGGGUAUGUUUCUCUGUUUUCCUUUCUGUUAGGGUCAUAUUUCUUUCUCGUCUUCCUCUGUGUUUCUGUUUGUGCAGCGGACACUUUUGCCUGUGUGUGCUUAGUGGUCACCGAACUCAGUACUGACCUGUAACUUGAAUAUCAUAAGGCACUAUUUGCCGGAGUUGAAUAAUGAAGUGUAAAACUGACCACUGCUCUGCUGUUUAUGUGCAGUUGUGUUGUGUUCUUAUGCCAGCAGUCUGUGCGUUUAUGUGGUGUUGAGGUCAGGAGUGUGGAGGAACCAGCAGGGGGGCAGUGAUCAACAGUCUGGGGCUCCCCUGCAGAGGGGCUCUGGGAUUAGGGCUAAACCCUGUCCUGCCAGAUGGGCACAACACAUCCCCACAUCACACAAGCACCAGCACCUUUAGGACUGCUUUUACCCUGCCCCCUUUCUCUGUGGAAACUAAGUGACUUAAACCCGAGGACCUCACAGAAACGCGGCAGAGGAGACGACUGAGAUGAGGCACGCUUCAAAGUGUCAGGAUCACUUACUCUCAUCUGUCUAAUUUUCACAACCCCCGAUCAGACCACACACUCGGUUUGUAAUCCUCCCUAUUUCCUCCCGCGGGCGUUGAGGCCUCAACCGGCAAACUUUGCGCAGGCCGAUGAUGCAGAGGAUGACUCGCAGUUGUUACAGACCGGACAGCAGACCAGGGGAUGAGGGGCGCUGCGCGGCCCGCUGUUAGACAAAAACCAAGAGGGAUUAAUGCAGCGUCUGUUGGUCCCAUAUGCUCCUCAGGACUGCUUUGGUCUUGAUUAAAACUCAUUGUAGGCUGUGUAUGAAGUAUUGAAGUAUUGUGAAGGCCGGACGCCUAAUCCCUCUCAUGACUUGUGCACUUUGAAGACACGAGACUCCAGGGUCAGAAUAACAAGCGGAGAAAAGGAACCUUUCAGCUGCUAUUGGUUAUAUCACUCAGCAUUAAAUGCGAAAGUGACAAGUAUGUUUACUGUUGGUGUGUGUAUAUAUUUAUAUAUAAUUCUUCAUGUCAUGUGCGGACGCCUAAAUGUAAUUGUGGGACUCAUCAUGCAUUUCCAAGAAUGCACAUUUAUUCCGAUUGAGAUUGUAUCUGUCAUAAUGUUGUAGGUUCUUUACCUUAUAAGUGCUCUACACUUUUUUUGUGAUGUGAUGCUGUAUGAUUAAAUUUAACCGGGUUACCAGCCUUUUGGUAGUCUCUGAAGGGAGUCAUCUUCAAACCUUUGCCAUGCUUCUUAUUCUCCAGCCCCAUUUCUUGCACCUUGUCUCGUUCUCUUACAGUUUUUCCCUCCUUGUCUGGCAUUUGAAAGUGACCCUGCAGUCUGAACCCCCUCCCUCCAUCCUCAGCAGACUCUAUGAAGGAGUUGUUGACGCAUCUCAUGAAUAUUCAGUCACCCACUAACCAAAGCUAUUGUUUCCGAGUUCAAUUGCUUCAUUGUUUAUGACCAUAACGAAAUACAUGUAUGUUGCUAAACCUGGCGGUGCACUGCGCGAACUUAGGCUGUAAUUUACUGUUGAAUAACGCCGCAAUCUGCAUGUGUAAUAGGCUAAAUUAAAAGGAGCAUCCAGCAGUGAGAACCCAUAAAUAAUCUGCUGUUUGUGCUUCAACCUUGAAUAAGUUAUACGGCCUGUUAUAUAAUUAAGUCUUUCUAAACUGCAGUUCAACCUCAUAAAACAAACACACACGCACACACACCUAUUUUCUGACCACGCAGGAGUGGAAUCAAAGUCGCUCUUCUCUUUAACGCUUCGAUUAUUUCAAGCAACGCUUUUAAUUAGUGUGAUCCUUUAGCGGAGACUCCAAUGAAAGAGAGAUUAUUGGCAAUGUCAAGGAUGCUAAUUGAAUGUUGGACUUCUAACAAUUAGCCCGCUGCACAACCAUGUCGAGUCAUUACAGAUCCCAUACCCGCUUUGACUUUGUCUGUCGUCUUAAAGAGUAACGUCGGACUUGAAAGUUGGAGCAAUAAAAAGUAAAUAACAACAAACCCUCUUUUAAAAACAGCUUUCUCCUCUUGAGUCCUAAAAUGUAUUGAUUUCUUUUUUCCCUCUAGACAUAACCUCUCCUGUGCACUUAAUUAAACACACCGCGCAUGUGGGAAAAAAAGUUACAGGAAUAUUGUGCGGAGUUUUUCUUGCCCUCUUUUUGAGCCAAUUUCUUACUUUCGUACAACUGCACUGCUAUAAGCACUUCUUAAACUGUAAACCCCACAACAGAGCAAAACAAAAUCAAGUGUUGUAUAUUUUCAUUUAUUUUUUGCUGUAUGUAUCUCUUACUGGUCUAUUUUCAGGGCAGUGAAAGCAAAUUAGCGUUGUUUCUUGAUAUAUGGAUGUCAUAUCAGCGCACUUGUGAGACAUGAAAUAUUAGCCUUCAUAUUAAAGAGCUCAUCCAGGGAUCAGGCGUGGAAAGCCAUGCCGCGCGGGCUUUGAAUAGGACCACGGCUGCCCUGCGCCCCAGAGAAACCCCCGCCGGUAAAAUAUUGGGAUUAACAUCUUUUGGAGUCCGGGAUUAAACACUGCUUUCUCAAACCGCACACUCGCUUUCACUGUCUGAAUUGCACUACCGGAAACAAUGCGGCAUUAAUUCGUUCUUCUUUUUUUUCUUUUGCGAUUAAAUAAAGGGAAAGGAGAGGAUUAAGUUUAUGUGGCGCAUUACCACUACGAACACUGGAUGGCUCUGAGACUCAUCGAAAGACAACACAUGGGCGUUAAUGCGUUGGGAUGUUUUUAAGACGUGAUAGAAAAACUAAUUACGCGUGAGAAAACAGAGUUUGGUCGGCACGCACAAGUGUAGGCUAAUUAUUACUCAGACGGCCAUUAUUGGCUUAAUUAAUGCGAAAGUUCUGAUUUUCCCUCUUUGCCUCAUCACGCACAUAUACCACCGCAGCCUCGGUUGAAAAAAAUAGUACCCACAAAGGUUUUGUUCCAUUUUUAGGGCUUAAAGUCGUAGAAAACG